CACACAGCCAAACACAGCGGUAACCUGCAGGACUGUCCCAAUGUGACUUGGACGAUCCUGCACUGAUCCAUUAGCGGGGCCAUAGCCGAGCUGCAGCAGUUAAUACUACGCCCUGCACCUACAUCGACAGCUUUUACCCACUUGAGAGGCCCAGGGUCUAAUGCAGUAACAUGAUAGCCUUAUCGUCACCACUUACAGUAUGUAGAGAAAGCAGGAGGGAAGGAUCAAGAACGGAUCGCUGAUCUAGGUGGAAAUCAUGAAGCAGAUGUCCUUUUCCUACAUUUGUGUUGUAAAGCAGUGGUGGGUGGUGACCAAACAAUGGCUACUGGGGUUAUAGAGACAACAGGGAAGAAUGCUAGAAGCUAACCAUAAUGUACUUCUGAGUGUUUGGAUUUCAACAUGGACAGGAUGUGUAACUUCCCCCAUCCCCCCCC